UCCUGCUGACUGGGCUGUUACUGAUGUUGUGAAUUAUUUCAGAACAGCUGGAUUUGAAGAACAAGCCAGUGCUUUUCAGGAACAGGUUUGCUCUUUACAAGCUGCCAAAGCAUGCCAAAGGACAGAUUCCCCUGCUGGGUCUGGAAUACCUGUACAUGGAUGCUCUGACUCCACAGUGGCAGCUUGGUAAACACCUCAUCAACAUGAGCCAGGGUGCUCUGGGACAAACACUGCAGCAGCUCUAUGAGACAUACGAAUCCAAGAGGAACACCACUGCAUAUGCAAUAUACAACGAUGAGAUCCCUGAAUCAGACUCCAAAGGAUCAAAAUGUGGACACACCAAAGGAUUUCUGCUCUUGGAUAAAUCACAAGGCUUCUGGGUGAUUCACAGUGUGCCCCUGUUCCCUCCCAGCCCUGAGGAUGGUUAUGGAUAUCCAUCUACUGGGGAGUCCUUUGGACAGACAGCCAUCUGUAUAACCUUCAAAUAUGAUCAGUUCACAGAAAUAGACCAACAGAUGUUGAGUUACAAUCCAGGAAUCUACAGCUGUUCCAUCCCUGACAGCUUCCAAGCUGAUCUCCCAAAUCUCCAGAAACUCUGUGCAAAGUCCAGGCUGCCCUCACCCCCCUUGCACCGCCUCUCCAAGCUCCAGUCAGCUCAGGGGGAAACCUUUCUCCACUUUGCAAAGUCACACUUGUUCAUAGAUGAUAUCUAUGUGGCCUGGAUGGCUCAGGAACUGAAGACUGAUUUGUUGGCUGAAUCCUGGCAGCGUUCUGGCGAAAAGCUUUACUCAAAUUGCUCUCUUGACUACCACGUCUACAACAUAAACAUAAUAGGGAUGCCUUUGAACUCCACCUUCCAUUCCAUUAAUGAUCAUUCCAAAUGGGCUGUUUCAAGGAAAUACAAAGAUCAGUGGACAUGCAUUGGAGACUUGAACCGUGCUGCUGAGCAAGCUUGGAGAAGUGGUGGGUUCAUCUGUACCCAGAAUGAACAGAUCUACAAAGCCUUCAGGCAUUUGAUAAUCCACUAUGAAAGCUGCACUUCUGCUCCCAGAGACCUCUAACAAACAUUCCUCCCAACCAGCACAGCCCUUGUUACAUGGGAAGUGUAGGAAAUCUCUCUCUCUCUGAACUGUAUUUUCACUCUGAAAAGCAGCCCUGUGAGUUUCCAGAUAUGCUAGGCCAUCCUCUUGUUAGCUGUAGGAGCAGGUGAAGGGCAGCUGCUUUCCUGUGCUGUGGGGCCCUCAGGGGGUGUGUGCUGGGCCCUGCUCUGCUCCCUGGCUCCUGUCACCAGCCUGGAUGGCAUGGCAUGGCAUGGCAGGGACAGUGCUGCACGGGGCUGCACCAAAGCACAUCUCUGUGCACACCCUGACGGGCAUCCCCGGGCACCUUGGGAGUGGGGCUGGGCCUGGGAUGGGAGGGACAACAGAAACCUCUCCCUUGAACUGGGCUGUCAGCACUGCCAGGUAGCAAGGGAUAAGCACCCCCAAGAACUUCAGAACUGCCCUGGAUUUCUGGCACUGUUGAGAUAAAUCACAGCAUUUCUGCUCAGCUUGGGCUGAAUCUCUAAAAGAGCUGAGAAAAUUAGACCCAGACAGGGAGAUGAGUAGAUCUGAGGACAGGAAGGCCUCAUUUUUACAUGAUUCAUUUUUAGAAAAUUAAUGAACUUUAAAUCAUCUUCAAAUUAUCUGUAACCAAUAGCUUGGAAAUAUUUCUAGUGCUUCUAUUAAUGUACAGCAAUUUUAUAAACAAAUAAACAUGUUCAAAAUAUGAAUAAGCAAAACAAGGAGUAACAAUAGUCUGUUUGCAUUCUCCCUUUCCCAUCUGUAUAGUUAUUUGUGGUUGGUUAAAAUGUUUUAUGGCUGCCAAAGGAAAAAUGAAGACAAUUAGGAAAAAUUAUAAAGAGAAGAAUAUAUUUGAAGAAAGAUGUUAUUUAACCUACAUUUUCACAUUACAACAAAGAUGGCUGUAAUUUUCAAUAUCUCUACUCUCAGGCUUAGGAGCUGAAGUUUGCAUAGUCUUGCUAUAAAGACAAAGCUGAUUUGCAAACUCCCAAUACACUCUUGUGUUCAGAUUUCAGAAGUGUAUCUGUGUUUAAUAUGUUCCUAAAUAUAUUUCUAUGUUUCUGUCUCUUCUUUUCCUGAAUUGCUAAUAUAAACUCCAGUCUGAAGAUCUGGCUGUCCCACUGAUAUUUCUGUUUUGCUGUGUUUGUAGUCCCCACUACUGAUCCUCCACGGAAGUAGAUGCCAAACACACAAGAAACAUCUGCCUGUCCCAGUGAUUCUGUGCUGCCUCUGCUGCCCGCUGCAACCCUUUUGACUGGACAGACUGGUUCCUGCCAAAGGGGACACAUGGCAUGGUCCCUCUGCAGUUUCAGGGAGAUCUGCUCAGCAAAAUUGACUCUGCAGAAGUGCCCAAACACUGGACCCUGGCUUGGAGAGAGAAGAAAGCUGCUGUCUGGUGUGGAAACCUGGAGUCUCUUCUCAGCAUGCAGGCAAAAACUUUAAUAAAGGAAUAGGUCUACUGCAACAAAGGAAACAACAGCAAGAAACAGAGACAAGGACACAUCCUAGCCCCAUUAAUAUCAGCAGGAAUUUGCCUUCAUCUUCAGUGGGAACAGAACUUCAAAGACAUGGGAAUCACCCAUACAACCUGAAGGGUAAAAUCGGAACCUUCCAUAGUCUCUGACACAAGCUGUGUUUGAGGGUGGUGGGGUAGUCCUGACACCAUGAAAAUGUCCCCAGCAGGACUGCAUGACCUUGGCCUGGCUGUGACCUUGUCCCUGGCACUGGCAGGUGUUGUUAGGACAGACCUCAGAGAGCUCAUUCCUUGACAGAAGAACCUCCCUGAGGCCCAUGAGCUUGGCACAGGUGAAGCUCCUGUCUCUCUUUGCUCAUGGCUGUACUUUCAGUGCCCAAAUCAGGAUGAAGUGACAUCCCCACCUUUAUUGGUACGUUUUUUUAUGUCUCAGUAGCUUAAGAUAUUCUUUCAAAGCCUAUCUCUGGCAGAAUGAAAGCUCUAUCUCCUCAGUCCUGAUUUGUGUUGUUUGAACUGAGGAAGACGAGUGGUGUGGAUAUAAAGAAUAGUUUCUUCUCUAGGAAGAUUUAAGAUCUCCCCUGAAGACUAAGAACAUAUUUAAGUGCACAUGGCCUGCUAAAUGCUGGGAAUGAGGGAAAGCCAGGAUGAGGGGACUCUUUCCUGGGCAACUCUGCAGGUCUUGUUUUGGUACUCACACCAUACAGCAAGUAAAAAUGCAAAGAAGAGAUGUGCUAACAACAGAAUUAGUUUUCCUGUCCUUCCUUUGGAUGACUCCUAGUGCUUCUUCCAUUCCUGGGAAUGCAUAAUAUGACAUGGUAUCAAGUUGCUGGAUGAAAAUAUGUAUAAUGUACAGCCUGGGAAGGUUGCUACACUCUUGAUGAGUUUAUUUGCUCCUUAUAGUCAUAUUUUAGCUCUGUGAGAAAAAGUUCCCCUCUGUCCUUCAUUAUUUACUGGUCACCAAAGUAAGUCUGACAAUACAGACUCUUUCAAAUAAACCAGAUUCCAGAGAACAGUAGGAAAAUGUUCCAUGGGAGUGUGUACCCUAACUAAGGCCCCUCCAUCAAUUUCUAAUUAUAUUUCAUGUUUUGUAUGGUGUCUGCACCCCCAGACCACUGCAGCCAUAUCAGGAAAGCAAUGGCAAGCACUUUCAGAAAAGCCCCUUUAAAAGAGAUGUGCUUAGCACGUUUGCUUGUCUGUGUUCUAUACAGCAGUGAUUUUGUGUUUCUGCGUGUAAAGAGUUCUGUGGACAACCUUUAUUAAAGCCACAAACAUGACUACAAAAUACAAGUUUAUGCAUGUUUUCCAUACAUUAAAUUUCUUAAGGAAUCUGAAGCCUCUCCUGCAAAACUAUAAGAACAUUUCAAAACCUGUGCUCUUUACAAGUCAGACCCAUAUUGUAUGUCAAAAUAUACAGCUGGGGUUUUUUGAAAGAGCAAGCACUCCUCAGGAUCCUGCAGGUACAGAGAACUUGGGAUUUCAAUACUUUUUAAUAAUAAAAUGUAAUAUUUGUUUAAUGCUAAAUUCCUCUGAGUUUCAGUGCCCUUAUUGUUCACUACCAGCACAUAUAUAAUCAGCCUAAGAAAGGAGGAGCAGAGCAUGUUGUUUGGCUGUUUUGAGAAUCAUAGAACAAUGCUAUUUGAGUCUGUGGGUUUAGCUUGGUAGUCCAUCUGAAAUGGCUGUCAGUGAGACAGAUAGUACAGGAAAGGUGAAACACUGUAUUUCAGAUAAGAAACUCAUCUGUAUUUCAUGGUUCCUGUCUCCUCUGGGAAUAUGAGGCCAGGGCUUUGUGGGAUCGAGUGACACUCCUGAACAUAACACUGCUGAGCUUAGAGCAGUGUGGUAAAGGCAAAGUGACACUGAGUAUCUUUGUGGCCCUUACCACUUCUACCAUAAACAAGGUGUCUUUCCUAAGCAGGGGAAGUUGCAAGGGCACACAGCAUUUGAAGUCCAGUUUAAUUUAAAUGUAGUACUGCAUAAAUUAAUAAGAUGAACACAGUAAAAAUUAGAAGAGCCAAACUUUAAACAAAUUUAUGAGUGCACUGUACAAAUUAAUACAUAUUUGUGCAAAGUAGCCAGGAGAAGAAAAAUAUGUUUCCUCUAAAAGGAUGUAGGUGUGGCUACUGCAGUGUACGAAGGAGAUUAAAAAAAAAUCCUGUUGUUGUGUUGUGUUUGAAGUAUUAAUUAGAGUCUGGCGUCAGCUUUGAAUGAUAACUAUUACUUUCUUCACACAGAUUUUCUAAGCUUGAGAGACCAGUUUUCAAAAGCUCUCUAGCAAAGCUAUUAUCUUACCAGCAUUACUUUGUCAGAAGAAUCUGUGAAAGGUUCAUCACUGAGGGUGAGUCUGGUUUUUUCAGUAUCUUCUCAGGAAUUGCCUUCAAAAAUGAAAGUCAGCUUUUCUGACAGUAAUCUUUCAUAAUUACAGAUGAAAAUUACGCAGUUGGCAAAUUCUCAACAGCCUUGGAAAUUGGACCUAAUACAUUCAAAGGCACAAGCCUUUAAAGUAUUUCACACUUAGACAGUUAGCCAAUAUUCUCAAUUAGAAUACAUGCUUUUGUUCUUAAAGAAAACCACCCCUGCUAUUUAUUUCACUGCUGAUACAGGUUUGUAUCUGUUAGUGCUUUGAAUUUCCUGAUUUGGAUACUCCCAGAAGGAGUACUUCUAUAUAGCACCCUGUCCCAGAUAACUUAAUACAGAAAAGGGUUCCAGUAAGUCUUGUACAUGGAUGUAUGAACACACUGUAUAUAAAAAGAAAUGUACACCUGCAGAGCUCUGGUAUUGUGAAAUACAGCAUUCAAAAGUGCUUAGCUCCCUGAAGUAUGAUGGCUCUUCAUUUGAUCUAGGAUAUGCAGGAGUGGUACAGAUAAGAUGUGUGCCUAUGGGUGGAGGGAAAAAGAGUAUUUUAUAUUAAGAGACUCAAAUGGUUCCUUUCCUUCCUUCUGCGGGUGCUCUUCCAGUACACUACAGCAGUUCUGCUGCUGAAUAAUUUUUCUGAGUUCGACCUGUUAUUAGUCACAAGAUUAUCCCAGCUUCAUGCUGAGCCUUUACCUAGGCUUAGUUACAAGGGUUUUCUCAAAACCUGGUGAAAUGCUUUUCACCCUCAGUACAUAGCUUGGUUUCUGCACACAGUGUUCUGCUGUGGAUAUGUAAUGGACAUAUGCGAUGUCUUUUCCAAAUCACAGCAGGUGGAAGCCUGCUUUGAGACUACACUGGAACAUCCAGUAACACUGACAUUUUAGGCAGUGGCUGUUAAAAGUUCUUGGAAAAGCAAGAAGUGCUUAAAGGUCAGAGGGUUCAGGACGUUAGCAGGAGCUUAACUGGCAUCAAACCAUGGCACAAGAAAAAGUGUGAAGAGGGUAUUCUUCUGCAGCUUGCUUUUUGAAAUGAGAAAAAUGGAAACAAUUUAUGAAUGUAAACAGGAAGGGAACAGCACUUUUCAAAGAGCUUUGAACUGCAGAGCUGUGGAGUGCCCGCUUCUUCUCAAGGCAGAAUAAUACCUAGAAGCUCAGCCAGUGGGUGAGGGCAUUGCACUGACAUCUCACCUGAAACAGCAGAGGUAUCCCUUUUAAUUUCUGCCAACACACUUGAAGGAAUGAAAGAUCUUGAGCCCAAAGGAAAGGAAAUUUUAGUGUCCCCUAAAGGAUGGACUGCUUCCUGAUGAGAAAGUGCUAAAGAUGUGCUGCUCUCUGUGCAAAGCUGAAGGGGUGCCCAGAGAAACAACAGCACAUCCAACAGGUGUGGUUAAUCCUUGUCAGGGAAGCAGGCUCUUCCCAGGACUACUGAGCAAAAUACGGCUGAAAGAACAAGUGAGAACAGAACUUUUAAUUAAAUAUUAGCUUCAGCCUGGAUAAAAACUUGAAAAAUUAUACAUUUAUUUAUUAAAAAAAAAAUCUAGAAUGACAUGCUAAAAAUCCUCAUCAAAGACCUGUAAAGAGACUCCAAUCAUCGGAGCAGUAUAUUCUGCUUAAGAUUUAAAAAAUGUACAACAGAAUUUGGUCUUGAUAAAUAACUUGUGUGCAGGAUCUGGAGCAGUUUUGUUGGGAUCUCCAGCAAUGCCAUCACUCCAUCUCUAAAUGAUUUUGAGGUUGGUGUCAUAUCAGCAGUAUCAAGCCUGCAGGCUGUGUAACAAGCUAAUGAUGCAACACUUGAGGAUGAAGGUGGAGGUGCUGCUAGAAUGACAGAGCCCCACCACACACAAACAGUAAGAACCAACUGAGAUUACGCGAGGCUGCAAUCAAACAUGAACCAUUAAAGACACUGCUUAUUAAAAACACAGACCCAACUAAACUGAAUUUAUAUAAACUAUCUAAUUAACAGAUUAGAAAACCUGAUAUGACCUGUGUGAUCUUCUAGUCUGACUUCUGGCAUAAUGGAGAGCAGAUUUUCCUGAACUCAUCCUGUCCAAACUAGAUUGUAUCAUCUUAAGGGGGGCACAUAUAUCUUGAUAUAAAUAUCAACAGGAAAUUUACUAUAAUUCUUGGUAGCCCUCUCAAUGGUUAAUUAUGGGUAACUAUAAAUUAAGAUUGCAGGUCUUGGAUCUUUGUCUGCCUGAGCUAAGGCAUGAAUUUUUAAAUGAAUAUUUACACCAUAGAAUGGUACAUAAAGGGCCCCCAUUAACUUUCUCUUUGAUAAACUAACUAGGUGGAACUUCUUGAACCCCACAUUCGAAGGAGAGUAUCCUUUAAUCAUGUCUCAUCUCUACUCUAUGGAAUCCUUCUAAUUUUUCAUCACUCUUUUGAAUUUAGGACCCAGAUCCUGAACAACAUUCCACCUUUCCUUGCAUUGGUACCAGAUAAAGACGAAGUAUAAAUCUCUUUAUCCUUUCUGAAUAUUUACUUCCUUGGGCAAUCGAGUUACUUUCCAUAUUCUGAUCACCAUGGAAGAGAAGUAGCAAUUGUGAUCUGAUAAAAUUCCUUUUCAGUGACUUUUCUUCCCAGCAGAGGACUUCCUAGGAGAUUUGCUGGGCCCUUGUUUGUUCUUUCUGAAAUAUAUAUUCUGCAUCUUUAUUUGGAUAGGGCAGAAAGGCUCUCUCAGUGAUUUUGUAGAAGAAUAAGGUUCAAAGGGAUGUAUCAGAGAUUACCACGAAGUAUUUGUGAUGAAAGAGACUGGGGACAGGACAGAUCUCCUGAAUCCCAUACUGGCACUACAGUACUGCACAUUUCCAUGUGAGGCUGAAGGACAGAGGCCAUGGCCAGAUGCAUUGUCAGCUGAUGGAUACAAUCCUGGGAUCAGAUUGAAUUCUGCCAUUUCUUUCCAGAUGUAUCUCAAAGUCACCUGAUGAAAUAAAAAAACGGGGUUUGAACCAUUGAGUCUAACUCUCUCCUGCCAUGCCUUCUCUUUCAUAAAUAAUUCCAUGCAAGCUUAGGAAAUAAAGUAUUUUUCCAAACAGGAGAAAAAAAGUGAUCAAUUUGGAAACACAGACAAAGGAAAUAUUAUUUUAGUUAAUCCUUCCUUGUCAAUUUGUAUGUAACUUUUACUGAAAUGUGCUUUUAAUUCUGUCCUCUGUCUCUUACUCCAGAGAACAGAGAUUGUCUCCAGCAUCAGUCUGUGCUGGGCAAAACAUCAAACUUGUUGAACCGUGCAGACCAAGCAGAAGAAAUCCUGUGAUAAAAAGUCCAAUGUAAGACCAAAUCUCAUCAUGAGUUUCAUUUCUUUGUUCAGUCAAACCCUGUGCACCAGUCAGGAUUGGCUCUCACAAGCUUCCACUGUAAAAUUAUACAAAAGAGGCUGAAAUCUAGGCCACAGCUAGAAAUAAUUCUUAGGAAGCUCUCUGGAUUUCCUGGAGGGUAAGGUGUGGCUCUGUGUGUGGGAGGUAAACGCCAGUGUUUUUCUGUUACCAAUAAUUAUGUGCAGCUUGAGUUUCAGUAAUAAGAGCUACAUAUGCAUGCUGGAAAAAAAGAGUUUAUCUUACACUGGGAUUAUACAUUCCAAGAUAAAUGUCUUACAUUGCUUUUA